UUAAGUCCGCUAACGAGCGCAACCCUCGCUGUGUGUUACAAGUGUCACACGGUACUGCCGGUCUUAAGCCGGAGGAAGGUGGGAUGACGUCAAGUCAGCAUGGCCUUUAUGUCCUGGGCUUACACACACGCUACAAUGGCCAACACAAUAGGUUGCUAAGCCGCGAGGUGGCGCCAAUCCAUAAAGUUGGUCUCAGUUCAGAUUGUAGGCUGCAACCCGCCUGCAUGAAGAUGGAGUUGCUAGUAACCGCAGGUCAGCUAUACUGCGGUGAAUACGUUCCCGGGGCUU
rnacentral:rRNA from 1 species